CCACCACUAAGCCAGUGGUGAACUCCACAUCCGCAUCCUUUGCUGAGGAUACGGUUAACGGAGCGAAAGCGACGUUCAACCGCAAAACAAGCAGAGGGGGCUUAGUGGUGGGGUGACUGCGUACCUUUUGUAUAAUGGGUCAGCGACUUAUAUUCUGUAGCAAGGUUAACCGAAUAGGGGAGCCGGAGGGAAACCGAGUCUUAAUUGGGCGUUAAGUUGCAGGGUAUAGACCCGAAACCCGGUGAUCUAGCCAUGGGCAGGUUGAAGGUUGGGUAACACUAACUGGAGGACCGAACCGACUAAUGUUGAAAAAUUAGCGGAUGACCUGU
rnacentral:rRNA from 1 species